rnacentral:lncRNA from 1 species
CAAAUCUGGAGGCUCUGGCUAUGACAGUCUCAGAUUUUGAUGUGGCUGUAACAGGAGAGAAAGAAAUCUUAGAAGUGGUCACUGUAACAUUCACUUGUGAUGAUGUGACUGAUGAAGCUGUAGUCGAUCUUGUCUGGUUGGUCUCAGCGGGCUGAGAAGGAACGGUGACAUGAGCAGUGGUGCUGCUGGGAUGGCUGGCAUUGGUGGCAUGGCUGGCACUGGUGGGAUGGCUGGCACUGGUGGGCGUACCUGCUGCAGAUUGUGUGGAUGGCACAGCAGAGGAAUUGGAUGCACUAUUAUUUCCUUGCACCACAGGGGAUGAAGUCACAUUAUAGCUUGUGUUGGUGAUGUUCACCUCUGCAAAGGCAUUUCCAAGGGGGCCGAGCAGGAGCAGCAGCGUAAGCGCCUGCAGCGCGCAGACAGCGCCGGAAAAGAUGAGCCGCAUGGCCUCGGAGACAGCCGCGCGGUGCCGGGACGGCUGCAGCACGCCGGGCGCUGCCUGUCCG